GUUGGCUGUUAACCAAAAUAUACUAAAAUUGAAACGAUAGAGAAGAUUAGCAUGGCCCCUGUCAAGGAUGACACACAAAUUUAUGAAGCAUUCCAUAUUUUA